CAGCCGCCGCGGUAAUACGUAGGGUGCAAGCGUUAAUCGGAAUUACUGGGCGUAAAGCGUGCGCAGGCGGUUAUAUAAGACAGAUGUGAAAUCCCCGGGCUCAACCUGGGAACUGCAUUUGUGACUGUAUAGCUAGAGUACGGCAGAGGGGGAUGGAAUUCCGCGUGUAGCAGUGAAAUGCGUAGAUAUGCGGAGGAACACCGAUGGCGAAGGCAAUCCCCUGGGCCUGUACUGACGCUCAUGCACGAAAGCGUGGGGAGCAAACAGGAUUAGAUACCCCGGUAGUCCCUGUCUCUUAUAU
rnacentral:rRNA from 1 species